CAAUAUAUGCUGACAAAAAUAGUAAUGUAUAGUCCUGACCCUUUUAUUCUGAAAACCUACAAACGGAAGUACUUGUUCACCCAGUUGAAGCCACAACUGCUUAGUGUUAAAGUAGCGGUGGACAGUCAGCCUACGUUGUAUACUUUUAGUUACACAAUGGUGAAUCUUUUCCUACCCUUGAUAUCUCUGCUCCAGUGUACAAAAUAAUGGAAUCACCAUACGACUGAGGACAUUGGAGUGCCCAAGUAGAAAUUACAGGGCCUGCAGCCUUCCUGUAAAUUGGGAUUGCUUGCCAGCUCCAAAAGAGACACUUGUCACUUAAUAGCAGUGUGUAAAGCAAUAUGAGUGACUUAACAGAGUUUGAACGAUGCCAAAUAGUCGCUGCGCGGCUGUCAGGGGCAUCUGUCACAAAAACUGCACAGCUUUUUAACGUGGCAAGGGGAACAGUCUCCAGAGUCAUGACUGUGUACAUCAAACAUGGACGAACAGCAUCUGCGAAGAAAAACAGUGGGCGCAAGUCAAAGCUCACCGAAAAGGAUAGGCAGAGACUUCUCAGGAUAGUCGAUGAGCACCCUGAGUACACGGCCUCAAAAAUAACCACAGAGUUGAAUGGACACCUCUCUCACACCGUCUCAGUCAAAACUAUACGGCGGGAGCUUCACAAAGCUGGGAUUUUUAGAGGAGCAGCCAGUCGGAAACCAGAGACUGAGACUGACACACAAAAGCCAGAUGGAAAGCACACUAAACCUAAACCUGGAAAAGAGGGUGACACACUAAAACAUGGUGACGAGAGCACGAGACCUGAAAUGCAAACAAAUGACAAAGAGUGUUGCACACAAAAGCCUGUGGGAGACCAAACAAUACCUGAAGCCCGGGUUAGUGUCGAAGAGUACAACACAGAAAAAUCUGAAGAGAGAAUACAACCUGAAUACCAAGUCAGUUAAGAGGAGUGCAUCACAUAAAAGCCUGGUGCACCUGAGAGCACGGAACCUAAACCUCAGACCAGUGAAAAGGAAUAACGAGUUGUAUUUUCAGCCUUUCUUAUACAUCCAGAUUGGUCAUAUUGUUAAUGGAAACCAACAGAAUGCCUACAUCCCUAAAUGUAGCCCACUGUUGAAUGUGACCAUGGAUUUCUGUUUCAAGAUUUUAUUUAUUUGUUUUGUAUGAAU